rnacentral:rRNA from 1 species
AGUCNAACGAGACGAGAUGGAAGUGCUUGCACGGAAAUCUUAGAAAGNNNCGAACGGGUGAGUAACGCGUGGGUAACCUGCCCUAUGGAAAGGAAUAGCCUCGGGAAACUGGGAGUAAUGCCUUAUAAUACAUUGAAGUCGCAUGGCUUUGGUGUUAAACGCUCCGGUGCCAUAGGAUGGACCCGCGUCCCAUUAGCUAGUUGGUGAGAUAACAGCCCACCAAGGCGACGAUGGGUAACCGGUCUGAGAGGGCGAACGGUCACACUGGAACUGAGACACGGCCCAGACUCCUACGGGAGGCAGCAGUGGGGAAUAUUGCACAAUGGGGGAAACCCUGAUGCAGCGAUGCCGCGUGAACGAAGAAGGCUUUCGAGUCGUAAAGUUCUGUUCUUAGGGAAGAAAAUGACGGUACCUAAGGAGAAAGCACCGGCUAAAUACGUGCCAGCAGCCGCGGUAAUACGUAUGGUGCAAGCGUUGUCCGGAAUUACUGGGCGUAAAGAGUUCGUAGGCGGUCAAAUAAGUCAGAAGUGAAAGGCUACGGCUCAACCGUAGUAAGCUUUUGAAACUGUUUGACUUGAGUACUGGAGAGGAAAGUGGAAUUCCUAGUGUAGCGGUGAAAUGCGUAGAUAUUAGGAGGAACACCAGUGGCGAAGGCGGCUUUCUGGACAGUAACUGACGCUGAGGAACGAAAGCGUGGGGAGCAAACAGGAUUAGAUACCCUGGUAGUCCACGCCGUAAACGAUGAGAACUAGGUGUUGGUCAAAAGAUCAGUGCCGCAGCUAACGCAAUAAGUUCU